rnacentral:rRNA from 1 species
AGCAGCCGCGGUAAUUCCAGCUCCAAUAGCGUAUAUUAAAGUUGUUGCAGUUAAAAAGCUCGUAGUUGAAUUUCGGGAUUGACACAUCGGUCGUGCCUUAAGGGGUAUGAACUGGUGUAGUCAAUUUCUCACCUUCUGGAGAACCGCGAUGCCCUUAAUUGGGUGUCGCGGGGAACCAGGACCUUUACUUUGAAAAAUUAGAGUGUUUAAAGCAGGCAUUUUGCUUGAAUACAUUAGCAUGGAAUAAUAAAAUAGGACGGCAUGAUUCUAUUUUGUUGGUUUCUAGGAUCACCGUAAUGAUUAAUAGGGAUAGUUGGGGGCAUUAGUAUUCAAUUGUCAGGGGUGAAAUUCUUGGAUUUAUUGAAGACUAACUACUGCGAAAGCAUUUGCCAAGGAUGUUUUCAUUAAUCAAGAACGAAAGUUAGGGGAUCGAAGACGAUCAGAUACCGUCGUAGCCUUAACCAUAAACUAUGCCGACUAGGAAUCAGACGAUGUUAAUUUUUAAUGUAC